rnacentral:sRNA from 1 species
AUGAUAAAGAAAAAAUGAGGAAAUGCUGUGAAGAACUAAUAGAACGUUUCAGAAGCAGAACAAGUCGAGAGCAGUGAUGACCCUUUUGUUCCUGCUAGUACCUCCUGUCUGUCUGGCCGAACUCACCAUCAGAUGAUGUCUUGAACCUCACCUAGAUGGGCUGGUGGUGUGUGGCCAGGUUAAGAGCACCAACAGGAGUAAGAAAGUGACCUGCCUGGUUUUACCGUGUGUACUAGGGGAGGGGUUGAAAGCUUUCGGUUGAUACAUCACCUCUGGGAGUUGAAGAAGAAUGCAAUUAAGAGAGCUAAAGAAGUCAGUAUAGAAUCUGAAACUCAGAGGUCAACUGAUGUGUCAAAGAUACCUCCACAAAUCAGUACCUUGAUUAAAACUAAAAUUGGAGUCAUCUUCAUAUCUCCAUCUUUCUCCCUCUUCAUUAGGACCGAUUGUAGUCUGUUUCCCUCUCACUCACUUGCAAUCUUUAUUGCUUUAGUGUUGCAUUUGAUUUUUAUCUUUGUUUUUGUUUUAAAUACUGUCAUUAAAGUCAUAGAAAAAUCUAAAAUAAAACUGGUUGAAUAAAAAUUUUAAAAUCGACUCUAAUGUAAUAAACCAGACAAAAAUGAUACUUUAAAUGUUAUAUCUUCCCUUUAAACUACAAAUAUUCAUUGAGUGUAUACCCUGUAUUAGGCUGUUGGAAUAAAACAGGGAAGAAGACAGAAGAAACUGCACCGCCAUCUUAGAUCUUGCAGCCAAAUUCCUCUGAACUUUUCUCUAAAGACGUGCUCUGGAAAAAUGUUGAUCAGUUUCCUACAUCAUGGAGGUCUUUUCAUGACCACCUUUGUCUAGACAAUGUCCUGUUUUUAGGUGCACGUUUGAGGGCUGGAGUCUCUGACCCACAGUGCUGCAGCCUGCACGUGGUUUGUCCUGACUUCUUUGCUACUUCACUUUUCGUAAGGCUCUGAGAGUGCAG